GGGCCCGCACAAGCAGCGGAGCGUGUGGUUUAAUUCGAUGCAACGCGAAGAACCUUACCUGGGCUUGACAUGUACGUAGUAGUGAAGGGAAACCGGAACGAGCCUUCGGGCAGCGUAGACAGGUGCUGCAUGGCUGUCGUCAGCUCGUGUCGUGAGAUGUUGGGUUAAGUCCCGCAACGAGCGCAACCCGUGUUGCUAGUUACAAGUGUCUAGCGAGACUGCCGGUAACAAGCCGGAGGAAGGUGCGGAUGAUGUCAAGUCAGCAUGGCCUAUAUGUCCAGGGCUACACACACGCUACAAUGGCUGGUACAAAGAGAAGCGAAAGGGAGACCUGAAGCGAAUCUCAUCAAAGCCAGUCAUAGUUCGGAUUGCAGGCUGCAACUCGCCUGCAUGAAGUCGGAGUUGCUAGUAACCGCAGGUCAGCGAAUACUGCGGUGAAUACGUUCCCGGGCCUUGUACACAC
rnacentral:rRNA from 1 species